rnacentral:rRNA from 1 species
UACGUAGGUGACAAGCGUUGUCCGGAUUUACUGGGCGUAAAGAGCGCGCAGGCGGUCGAUCAAGUCGAGUGUGAAAGCCCCCGGCUCAACUGGGGAGGGUCAUUCGAAACUGGUCGACUCGAAGGCAGGAGAGGGUAGUGGAAUUCCCGGUGUAGUGGUGAAAUUCGUAGAUAUUCGGAGGAACACCAGUGGCGAAGGCGGCUCACUGGCUCGGUACUGACGCUGAGGUGCGAAAGCGUGGGGAGCAAACAGG